GGCCGCGGGAUUGGAGGAAAGUAGGGGAUCGUAAGACCUUGCGCUUUUGGAGCGGCCGAUGUCUGAUUAGCUAGUUGGUGGGGUAAUGGCCUACCAAAGCUUCGAUCAGUAGCUGGUCUGAGAGGACGGCCAGCCACACUGGGACUGAGACACGGCCCAGACUCCUACGGGAGGCAGCAGUGGGGGAUUUUGGACAAUGGGCACAAGCCUGAUCCAGCCAUGCCGCGUGAGUGAAGAAGGCCUUCGGGUUGUAAAGCUCUUUCAGCCGGGAAGAAAAGGCUGCGACUAAUAAUCGCAGUUCAUGACGGUACCGGAAGAAGAAGCACCGGCUAACUACGUGCCAGCAGCCGCGGUAAUACAUAGGGUGCAAGCGUUAAUCGGAAUUACUGGGCGUAAAGGGUGCGCAGGCGGUUUUGUAAGUCAGAUGUGA
rnacentral:rRNA from 1 species